rnacentral:rRNA from 1 species
AGGACGAACGCUGGCGGCGUGCUUAACACAUGCAAGUCACGGGGGUCCCGCAAGGGAUAACCGGUGAACGGGUGCGUAACACGUGAACAACCUGCCCUCGUGUGGGGGAUAGCCAUGCUAACGCGUGGGUAAUACCGCAUACGUUUCCUGAAGGGAGUCCUUUGGGAAGGAAAGCUCCGGCGCACGGGGAGGGGUUCGCGGCCUAUCAGCUAGUUGGCGGGGUAAUGGCCCACCAAGGCGACGACGGGUAGCUGGUCUGAGGAGGAUGGCCAGCCACAUUGGGACUGAGAGACGGCCCAGACUCCUACGGGAGGCAGCAGUGGGGAAUCGUGCGCAAGUGGCCGAAAGGCUGACGCAGCGACGCCGCGUGGUGGGAGGACGCCGUUUCGGGGUAGUAAACCGACGUGUUGGCCCGGGGACGUAAACGAGGUCCCGUUUUCGGAAGGGUUCUGGACGGUACCGGGUGAGGAAGCGACCGGCUAACCGUCCGUAGCCGAGCCGAAGCCGAC